rnacentral:rRNA from 1 species
GAUGAACGCUGGCGGCGUGCCUAAUACAUGCAAGUCGAGCGAACGGACGAGAAGCUUGCUUCUCUGAUGUUAGCGGCGGACGGGUGAGUAACACGUGGAUAACCUACCUAUAAGACUGGGAUAACUUCGGGAAACCGGAGCUAAUACCGGAUAAUAUUUUGAACCGCAUGGUUCAAAAGUGAAAGACGGUCUUGCUGUCACUUAUAGAUGGAUCCGCGCUGCAUUAGCUAGUUGGUAAGGUAACGGCUUACCAAGGCAACGAUGCAUAGCCGACCUGAGAGGGUGAUCGGCCACACUGGAACUGAGACACGGUCCAGACUCCUACGGGAGGCAGCAGUAGGGAAUCUUCCGCAAUGGGCGAAAACCUGACGGAGCAACGCCGCGUGAGUGAUGAAGGUCUUCGGAUCGUAAAACUCUGUUAUUAGGGAAAAACAUAUGUGUAAGUAACUGUGCACAUCUUGACGGUACCUAAUCAGAAAGCCACGGCUAACUACGUG